rnacentral:lncRNA from 1 species
CUCGGCAUUGCUCCUUGAAGCCAUCUUUACAGCUGACCUAUUGGAUUCCACGAAAGACACUCUGUUGGUCCUGCGAUCCUAACUAUUCCGUUAGAUCCUGGAAAAGGUAUCUAGCUAUGGUUGAGUUGGCUGAGUAGAAGGGAUAUUUCAUCGAUAGCCUGUUCACGAAGGAAAGUAUCGAAGAGUUUUCAUUCUUUCAUAUGGGAUUACUACAGCAAAGAAAUAACUCAGGGAAGCUAUUUGAUGGAAGGAUUCAUGAUCGAACCAGACGAUAUAAGUCGUUUUUGAGAAUCAAUAGGUAAAGGGAUCACAAAUGGAUAUGCAAUAGAACAGGUCCUGGCCUCAUAUUUACUUAUUACUUUACAGUAUGCAUUCAAGUGCCCAAGCAUGAAUGGUCAUUUCACAUGUUCAUUAAGAACUUUCAACAUCUUCGCUGCUAAAUUUUCUGAAAGAUCAUUCCAUCACAAAGAAAAAUAGGGGUUUCUUGAAGGGUAAGGCUUCUGAACCGAAGAUAGGAAGAAAAAAAACUUCUGACAGACGUGAUCUAUAUAAUCCAUCAUUUUGUUUCACUUGACAGAGAUAAAAUUGUUUCCUAGGAGACAGAUUAGUCUAGUACCAUCUUCUCUACACGAAAAGAAUUCAUUACCUCGGGUUAGAAUUUCCUUUAACCACUUUUUGACCAUAUUUCCGCCAUCUGUAGCCAUCGUCUAGAAGAUCAACUUCACUUGUGGUCUGCACAAUUAUCCUUGGUUCUGUGACUGUUCUUUGAGAAGAACUUGAUUCAAUAGCACCGGUUUGUAAUUUCCUGUUCCAUUAAUCAAGAUUUACUUAGAAAUACAUGUUCCAUAUAAGUAACCUGUCAGGCGCUAGCUAAAUAUAAAAAUAAUAAAAAAAGUACCUCCGUUUCGGAUCAAGCUCAGCAUCACACCCUUCAGCUGUUCUUUCUUCAAAAUCAUCUACUUCCUCGUCAUCACCUGAGCCAGAUGGCUGUUCGGAUGAUGCAUGCAGAGGCUCCUGAUCUCUUCUAUAUGCUGGAUUGGUUGGCACCUGCUCAGUUAAUCUAUGCAUCUUUCUCGCCUGACUUUGAAAACCCACAUCAUCUUGAAAACCUGCUUCUGAAUUAUCACCCAGGUUCAUGUUCCCAUUGGGCUCACCUAAACCACCUUCCCUGGAACGCUUAUUGGCGGGGGGGCGCUGGUGGUUGUGUUCCCCCUUAUAUAUAAUUUCUGUAACCUGCCCAUCAAGAGACCUUUCAACUUUUUUCUUCACAGGACAUUUCGAGUGAGUGCACUUGUAAUAACUCCUAGGGCACUCACUGCCCUUGACAACCUUCUGCCCAUAUUUCCUCCAGUUGUAGCCGUCGUCAGAGGGUUUGUCAAUGACGAUAGAUGCAGCUUGAGCUCUCUGUCUAGACUGAGAACCCUCUGCUGUUUCUGAGACUGACGUCGAAGCUUUUUUUUGUUCUAACAGAGAAGAACCGACAGCAGAGCUAUUGGGAUGUGCCCAAGAGGCAUCGGCUGAGGUUUCUACGGGCAUCUGCACAUGGGAAGUAGAAUGCGCUACCUGAGAAGCCUGAGCAGUGACGUGCGCCAGUGCCUCUUGGUGUGAGAUCCCAAAGGGUCCCUGCGAG